AUUGAACGCUGGCGGCAUGCUUUACACAUGCAAGUCGGACGAGUGGCGGACGGGUGAGUAACGCAUCGGAACGUGCCCAGUAGUGGGGGAUAACUAUCCGAAAGGGCGGCUAAUACCGCAUACUAUUGGAGCGGCCGAUAUCGGAUUAGCUGGUUGGGGGGGUAAAGGCUCACCAAGGCGACGAUCCGUAGCGGGUCUGAGAGGAUGACCAGCCACACUGGGACUGAGACACGGCCCAGACUCCUACGGGAGGCAGCAGUGGGGAAUUUUGGACAAUGGGGGCAAGCCUGAUCCAGCCAUGCCGCGUGUCUGAAGAAGGCCUUCGGGUUGUAAAGGACUUUUGGCAGGGAAGCGGUACCUGCAGAAUAAGCACCGGCUAACUACGUGCCAGCAGCCGCGGUAAUUC
rnacentral:rRNA from 1 species